rnacentral:lncRNA from 10 species
AACCCAGAACGGAUAGCUCCCUCCUGGAAAAGUAGAGACGAGGUUUCACCGUGUUAGCCAGGAUGGUGUCGAUAUCCUGACCUCCUGAUCCACCCGCCAUGGCUUCCCAAAGUGCUGGGAUUACAGGCAUGAGCCACCACGCCCGGCCAAUAUAUUGGUUUCUUUAUGAAAAUUAUACUGGAUCUGUUACAGAUGAUAGUGUCGAACCAAGUGGGACAAAGAAAGAUCUGAAUGACAAAGAGAAAAAAGAUGAAGAAGAAACUCCUGCACCUAUAUAUAGGGCCAAGUCAAUUCUGGACAGCUGGGUAUGGGGCAAGCAACCAGCUUUUGUGUGGUCCUCUGAGCCCCAGUGAGAGUUUCCUGAGGUACCUCACCCUUCCACAAGACAACAGGCUUGCCAUUGAUCUGCAACAAACGGCGGUUGUUGUCAUGGCCCAUUUAGACCGUCUGGCUACACCCUGUAGAUGCCUCCUCUGUGUAGCUCUCCGACGUCUCAUAAGAGUCAUUUUUUACAGGUCAGAACUGUAGAAAUAAUGAGAAAGUGACACUUGUACGCAUAGCUGAUUUGGAGAACCAUAAUAACGAUGGAGGCUUCUGGACUGUGAUUGACGGGAAAGUGUAUGAUAUAAAGGACUUCCAGACACAGUCGUUAACAGAAAAUAGUAUUCUUGCUCAGUUUGCAGGGGAAGACCCAGUGGUAGCUUUGGAAGCUGCUUUGCAGUUUGAAGACACCCGGGAAUCCAUGCACGCAUUU